rnacentral:lncRNA from 1 species
UACCCUAUCUACAGGCAAACUUCACUUCCCAUCGAAGUGAAAUGCACUUCCAAAUCAAAAAUGCAGGGCCCUUCUUCACUAGGUACCCUGAUCACCCCAACUGGGUGGCUUGCAAAUUACAUCACUUUGUAAAUCGUGUUGUGCUCCAUCAUCUCCUCCCUGAGUGCACAAUGGAGAGAUACCAUCAACUUAUUUAGAGUGAAAGAGGACUCAUUUCAGCGAUGUCGCGACUUCGCUUUAUACAUAAACUCUGUCUCUCUCUAUGAGUUCUUCAUGGAACCAUCCUACACUAGUUACAUCGCUGUGUUCUUGGCCAGACUUUCGCACGUAUACCAAAACUCUCCUCGCUCCUAUCUACCUCUGACCUGCUAUUAAUGUGCUUUGCUUUGUUGAAUGCCUCUAUGCACGGUUGCUGUACGUGUCCAUUUUUCUUGCUAAUACCACUGGACUAAGUCAAAACAGCAGAUCCUAUUGUAUGGGCACGCAUUCUAGUCGGUAUAGCAAUCCAACUCCUUCCCCUUACAGGCAUUUCUGUGUUUUCUUAAAAUUCGGAGGUUCCCCACUACCUUCAAAAGCUUUAAUCGACUUUGGAAUCUUGCAUCUUAAUGAAACAUGACUUUACCCGAUCCCUUUAGGAUCUACAAUCUGCCAUGCGGUAUCGGACUGUUCCUUUGCCAACAACAUUCGUCGUGUUGUUUGACAUCAUCCGUAAAGUCCUUCGAAUGCUACAUGUGUAAAGAACACCUCUUUGUCUCUACACAAGUGGGUAAGUAUUCCUGACAUCAGAAAUUAAUUGAUUUCAUCUGCGACUGCUGCUAGGAGAACAUCACUCUCCACAGCCAUCAUUGCUGUUGUUGCUGCCUCUGAAGACUAAUCUUGUGCUUUGUUUUCUGGACAAUUCUUCUUGUCCCUACUGGUAGUAAUAAAAGCAAUUAAAGUGCGACCUCUAGAUUUUGACCUCAGUCGUCCUCUUUUCUGAGCUCUUAUCUGGACCUCUUUCUUGACCUUCUGGAACUUGCUUUGUUCUGCCAUUGUAGUCCCUUUCUGAAACUUCAACACAAACCUCCUCAUCAUUAAAGUUUUAUUCAGAGAUGUCUCUGCCUAGUAUAUCUCCUCCAAUUUGGUCCAUAACCAAUGAGCACUUAUUCAUGUGUACAUGUUGGGAAACACUCUUGUGUUCAAUGAAACUAAUCUGAUCUGUAACACUUGUCUCAUCCCUGCUACAUGUGGAAACUCGUGUCCAGUACAUUAUCUGAUCUGCCAAUCGUCUUCCUCAUUCAUCUCUUUCCAUGUCAUUCAUCCUGUUUUCCACAAGGAGGCAAUCCUGUAGCUAAAAGCGUGUGAUCAAAACUCCCACCAAACUACUCUGCCAUAUUAUUUCUCUAAAAUAGAAGCAAAAAAUCUUCGAAAAAUUGACCUCGCGGAUGAAUUUGGAAUGACUGAGUGAGAAACACUCAGAAAGGGCUUUUCUGUCUCGAAAAUCAGACCCAAUUCUGUGACCAAACAUGAUUAAAUCGAACACUUCAGGGGGAACUAAAUUAUAAUUUACCAGAACCUCCGGGCAAAUCUGCAAUUUUCAGGGAACUGCCAGGGACUCUACGAUUAAUUACCACCUUUCGGGCAACUGUUUGAUCGUCAUUGACCGAUCAACGUUGAUUGGUAACCCGGUCAACGGGCAUCAAUGGCUCGUUGGUGCGCGGGCUAUGGUCAACCCGCGUGGCUGCGCUCGACUCUGAUAACGCUCCUAACUCAAAUAAGCUUGUAAACGCGGGCUUGGUCAAAAGUGGCACAUGCGCAUUUAUGAACCACCGUUUCAAAUUCCCAGUUUAAGACAUCAUCAUUUCCCAUUUUUACUUUCUAUUUUCAUUUUUUUUUCCUUUUAUAAUUAAGGUUAUCAUGAUGUCUCUCCCUAUUCUCUAAUCUUCUCUCACAGCAGUGAGACCAAACUGGGGGCGCGUGGGGGCGGUGGAUGGAGAGCAGAACUACAAGGCAGCGCGUGAGAGCUCGCCUAGCGUCUAAUUUUGAAUCCGUUUGGUGCUGGAGUUUCGUCUUGACGAGACAAAUUUGGUGGUAUGCUCAAAUGCCAUUUUUGAAUACGUUGAAUUUGGUCAGAUUCCGAUAUCGGCUUCCGAUCGCCGCCAAAAUCACUCCGGUGACUCUUUGGUGACUCGAACUUGGCUCUAUACCAAUUGUUGUGCCCAAGGACCUAGUCACCAGUCACAUCUACCAAGAUCAACCACACUCACAAGACAAAAACUUACGUGGUUCGGCCAAACCUGCCUAACGUCCACGGAGAGCAACCAAUAAUCCAUUAAUUACAGAAUAAAUUAUAAUGAGUACAAUAGGAAAGAGAUCACAUUCUACACAGCUCUCAGCACUCUCUCAUAUCUCACUAUCUCACUGUAUGUUCUCUCCUCUCACAAUACCACAACUCUCACUUCAGCAGAUCUCUCUACUUUCAAUACAUUCCUUUAGCCCCUUUGCACACAGCAACAUGUUG